rnacentral:misc_RNA from 1 species
GAUGAAGAACGUAGCGAAAUGCGAUAAGUAAUGUGAAUUGCAGAAUUCAGUGAAUCAUCGAAUCUUUGAACGCACAUUGCGUCCCCUGGUAUUCCGGGGGGCAUGCCUGUUCGAGCGUCAUUUCACCACUCAAGCCUCGCUUGGUAUUGGGCAACGCGGUCCGCCGCGUGCCUCAAAUCGACCGGCUGGGUCUUCUGUCCCCUAAGCGUUGUGGAAACUAUUCGCUAAAGGGUGUUCGGGAGGCUACGCCGUAAAACAACCCCAUUUCUAAGGUUGACCUCGGAUCAGGUAGGGAUACCCGCUGAACUUAAGCAUAUCAAUAAGCGGAGGA